CCUACGGGAGGCAGCAGUAGGGAAUCUUCCACAAUGGGCGAAAGCCUGAUGGAGCAACGCCGCGUGGGUGAAGAAGGUCUUCGGAUCGUAAAACCCUGUUGUUAGAGAAGAAAGUGCGUGAGAGUAACUGUUCACGUUUCGACGGUAUCUAACCAGAAAGCCACGGCUAACUACGUGCCAGCAGCCGCGGUAAUACGUAGGUGGCAAGCGUUAUCCGGAUUUAUUGGGCUUAAAGAGAACGCAGGCGGUCUUUUAAGUCUGAUGUGAAAUCCUUCGGCUUAACCGGGGUAGUGCAUUGGAAACUG
rnacentral:rRNA from 1 species